rnacentral:misc_RNA from 1 species
AUUUGUACUGUAUUUUUCUGAACAAAAUUAUUUCCAAAAUAUGGAUGGUUCCGUUCCGCAAACGGAUACGAUGAUGUCGGAUGUGGCUGCACCUCCGGCUCAACAACCACCUCCGCCGUCACAACCGCUGGCUGGAAUGGAUAAUAUUCCGGCGACGUUAAGCCAUGGUGGCAGGUUCAUUCAAUACAAUAUUUUUGGUAAUAUUUUUGAAGUUACUGCUAAGUAUAAACCUCCUAUAAUGCCAAUUGGUAAAGGUGCUUAUGGAAUCGUUUGUUCUGCUUUGAAUUCGGAGACAAAUGAAUCUGUAGCAAUUAAGAAAAUUGCUAAUGCUUUUGAUAACAAGAUUGAUGCUAAGAGGACUUUGAGAGAGAUCAAGCUUCUUCGACAUAUGGAUCAUGAAAAUAUUGUUGCGAUCAGAGAUAUAAUUCCACCACCACAGAGAGAAGCCUUUAACGAUGUUUACAUUGCGUAUGAGCUUAUGGAUACUGAUCUCCAUCAAAUUAUUCGCUCGAAUCAGGGUUUAUCUGAGGAGCACUGCCAGUAUUUCUUGUAUCAGAUCCUCCGUGGGUUGAAAUACAUACAUUCUGCAAAUGUUUUGCACAGAGACUUAAAGCCUAGCAAUCUUCUCUUGAAUGCCAACUGUGAUUUGAAGAUAUGUGAUUUUGGGCUAGCUCGUGUCACUUCUGAAACUGACUUUAUGACCGAAUAUGUUGUGACAAGAUGGUAUCGUCCACCUGAGCUGUUGUUGAAUUCAUCCGACUAUACUGCAGCAAUUGAUGUAUGGUCAGUGGGUUGCAUCUUCAUGGAGUUGAUGGACAGAAAACCCCUCUUCCCUGGCAGAGAUCAUGUACACCAGCUGCGUCUUAUUAUGGAGUUGAUUGGCACUCCUUCAGAGGCUGAAAUGGAAUUUUUAAAUGAGAAUGCAAAACGCUAUAUCCGACAACUUCCUCUUUACCGUCGACAAUCAUUUACUGAAAAGUUCCCGCAUGUAAACCCAGCUGCUAUUGAUCUUGUCGAGAAAAUGUUGACAUUUGAUCCCAGAAGGAGAAUAACAGUUGAAGACGCUCUUGCACAUCCUUACCUAACAUCGCUCCAUGAUAUCAGUGACGAGCCCAUUUGCAUGACUCCUUUUAGCUUCGACUUUGAGCAGCAUGCGCUUACAGAGGAACAGAUGAAGGAGCUAAUUUACAGGGAGUCGAUUGCAUUUAAUCCUGAAUACCAGCGCAUGUGAAUAAUUGCUGACAGAUUGUUGCAGGUUUGAUCUACAUGUUAUGUGUAACUGACAAUAUAUCUCCCCAUGUAUAUAUGUGUGCAUUCCGUCCGGGAACAUGGAUGAGUUUCUUAUGCAAACACUUAGUUAUGAAGCUGACUUAUGUAUGGAGAGUUGUUUGAUGUAUCUUUAUGGGGUGGAUUUUAUUUUAGACUGAAAUGAAAAAUUCUGGUGGACA